AUGAAAUAUCUUUUAGUAUUUAACUACAUAAUAAUAACAGAUACAUUUCCCUUCCCUCUGCACUUGCACAUAGCCCAAAUGCUUUCAUGUUCUUUUGCAGUCCUCCUCAAAAUGGUGACACAUCAAAAUAUGCUGAUUUUCUUAGAAAAUAAUUUGGGAGAUUGGUGUGGGGCUUCAGGAACCAUGAAAGUGGGGCUCAGGAGUAAUAUGUGGCCUAUGGGUCAAGCUGUGUUCACCUUCACUAGAUACAUUACUAUUUCAUAUCAUUAAAAAUGAAAACAUUUUGAUAUAUCACAAGCAGAAAGAACAGUAGAAAUACUACUAACAAUUUAGCGGCAUAGACACAAACACAUAUACCAGCCUGCCGUUUCCUCCCCUUUUUAACGUCAAAAACAAGGGCUUAAGGCGGGCAACACUAUAGAACAAUUCACCCUCGAAAAUGCAUAGGUUUCUUCUUCUUGUUAGAAGAAACAUACUUUUGUUACUGUAUGGGGAAUAAUAGAAAUUUUAAGUUUUAAUUCAAUCUAAUGGACUGUUUUUGAGGAGGAAUGUGUAACUUCCCCCUUUUUAGGCCUCCAGAUUUUAGUACUGAAGUUGUUCUUAUCAGGAGCUUCUGUAUUCUUGGAAGUGAACUGAUAAUACUCUAUUAAACUUCCUUGGGAGGUCCAGAAUUCAAAGCAAAGCAAUUUAUUUUCACCCCUUGCUAAAGGUUUUCAACACUAUUCACAUCUCAGUAUCUUUUUUCCCCUUAAAAAUAGUUGCUAUAUAAUGUUUAUUUGAAGAAGGAUAACAUUAUGCAUGAAACAGGUUUAGUCAAGUUACACAUAAAUUGGUGCCAUCUCCUCCUGCUUAAUAAAUGUAUCCAAACAUCCCAAGACUUCAGGUAUUCCUACAUUUCUCAAAGCUGUCAAACUAUUUAUUUAUAAAUGACUGUAGUAUUUUUAGCUUUUACCAUAAAUUAUGUUUCUGCUUUACUCUUCCUGGAGCAAUUUUGCCAAAGAAAAAAAUUGUUGUGAAGAAGUUGCAUUUUCUUCUGUGUCACAUGUCCAUUAUGCAAUAAUUGUAGACAUAAAAAGUGGCAGAAGUGCAGCAUGAUUUCAUUCUGAUAGUGAAGGCCUUAAAAAUACCAGAGUUUCAGCAUCUCUAUUUUUUCUGGCAUAUUUUGAAAUAAGCUGUUAUUCCCAUCCUUGAAGCAUAAUUGAAAGUUACUACCUAUUUUCCAUGUCUCCAAUUUUCUAGUUCUGCUUGUAACCAAAGUUAACAGCUGCUAUUACCAUUAUACAGUUUGUAGAUGAAGUAUGGAAUAUAUAUAUAUAUAUAUAUAUAUAUAUAUAUAUAUAUAUAUCUUCACACACACACACACACACACACACACACGGUCUGUUAACAAAGCCUCUCUCACAAAGAAGCUCAUUUUUAUAAAGGCUUUUUGCAUUUGCCCACCCCUCUUAAGGUCCUGGUUUUCUAGCUAGCUGGAAGGUUUUUUAAGCAUCAGUUCCGAGGGUUAUGAUAACUGAGCAAACAAAUUUUGUGUUAGGCUGUAGGAGCAUGUCUGCAGUAAUCAAUAAAAUAAAGCUCGAGUUGAAAAAGAAUGGGCCAAUUUCACUUCAGUUUUGUGUGCUCUGCCUAAAGCAAGCUGACUCUAGAACAGUGGUUCUCAACCUGUGGGUCCCCAGAUGCUUUGGCCUACAGCUCCCAGAAACCCCAACCAGUUUACCAAUUUUAGGAUUUCUGGGAGUUGAAGGCCAAAACAUAUGGUGACUCACAGGCUGAGAACCACUGCUCUAGGACAUCUUACUGAACAUUAUGCCAACAGCAAAAGAGAAAGGAAAAAGAUCAGCCAAGCAUAGACUUUGUUGGAAUCACAGACACCUUAAAGGGCCAGACUUAAAAGUGGCUUUAAAACAGAGUUUAUUAAAGCAAAAGAAAAGGGACGCAGAGAAACUAAAAUGCAGUUCCACUGGUCAAAACUCAAAAAACCAAACCAGACCUGGUCCAAAAGGUAAACAGAAAGAUAAUCCAGAUUAACUGGAUGCAAAGAGCAACAAGUCAAACAAAGCGCUCUGAGGCAAAACAAAAAGGCACAGUACACAAAUGGUUAACAACAGGAGUCGCAGGAAGAGAAGCGUCAUCAGCUGAAGUCCAGCGUUGAAGUGGGAGAAAUCCGAAACAGCGUUGCUCCAGUGUCCGCAGAAGCAGCGUCUUUAGCCAAAUUGGUCCAGGUCUAAACUGCAGAUCCGAAUCCAAUGCCGAACACGAAACAGGCAGCAGCAAGUCUACAAAAAUCUUUACCAAUACCCAGCACAUGAACGCACAUCAACACUUUGCCUUCUGCAAAGACCCCUCACACCUGAACCCACUUUUAUCUACAAACCAUCAUCAGAAGAUGAACUGACCACCGCCCCAUCACCAUCCCCUGCAGCUGCUUCCAGCUCUGCACGUGAAUUCCCUUGCCUUUCCCUCCCAUUUCCUCCUUCUCCUGUCAAGACUUUGGAUCCCCUCCAAGAAUCUGUUGGAAUCCCCUGGAUG
ensembl:lncRNA